UACGUAGGGUGCAAGCGUUAAUCGGAAUUACUGGGCGUAAAGCGUGCGCAGGCGGUUUUGUAAGUCUGUCGUGAAAUCCCCGGGCUCAACCUGGGAAUUGCGAUGGAGACUGCAAGGCUAGAAUCUGGCAGAGGGGGGUAGAAUUCCACGCGUAGCAGUGAAAUGCGUAGAGAUGUGGAGGAACACCGAUGGCGAAGGCAGCCCCCUGGGUCAAGAUUGACGCUCAUGCAC
rnacentral:rRNA from 1 species